GGGUUGUGAGGUUAAGCGACUAAGCGUACACGGUGGAUGCCUUGGCAGUCAGAGGCGAUGAAGGACGUGCUAAUCUGCGAAAAGCGCCGGCGAGGUGAUAUGAACCUUUGACCCGGCGAUGUCCGAAUGGGGAAACCCAGUGUGUUCCGACACACUAUCGUUAACUGAAUACAUAGGUUAACGAGGCGAACCGGGGGAACUGAAACAUCUAAGUACCCCGAGGAAAAGAAAUCAACCGAGAUUCCCCCAGUAGCGGCGAGCGAACGGGGAGCAGCCCAGAGUCUGAAUCAGCUUGUGUGUUAGUGGAAGCGUCUGGAAAGUCGCACGGUACAGGGUGAAAGUCCCGUACACGAAAGCACACAGGUUGUGAACUCGAAGAGUAGGGCGGGACACGUGGUAUCCUGUCUGAAUAUGGGGGGACCAUCCUCCAAGGCUAAAUACUCCUGACUGACCGAUAGUGAACCAGUACCGUGAGGGAAAGGCGAAAAGAACCCCGGCGAGGGGAGUGAAAAAGAACCUGAAACCGUGUACGUACAAGCAGUGGGAGCCUCUUUUAUGGGGUGACUGCGUACCUUUUGUAUAAUGGGUCAGCGACUUAUAUUCUGUAGCAAGGUUAACCGUAUAGGGGAGCCGCAGGGAAACCGAGUCUUAACUGGGCGUUAAGUUGCAGGGUAUAGACCCGAAACCCGGUGAUCUAGCCAUGGGCAGGUUGAAGGUUGGGUAACACUAACUGGAGGACCGAACCGACUAAUGUUGAAAAAUUAGCGGAUGACUUGUGGCUGGGGGUGAAAGGCCAAUCAAACCGGGAGAUAGCUGGUUCUCCCCGAAAGCUAUUUAGGUAGCGCCUCGUGAACUCAUCUUCGGGGGUAGAGCACUGUUUCGGCUAGGGGGCCAUCCCGGCUUACCAACCCGAUGCAAACUACGAAUACCGAAGAAUGUUAUCACGGGAGACACACGGCGGGUGCUAACGUCCGUCGUGAAGAGGGAAACAACCCAGACCGCCAGCUAAGGUCCCAAAGUCAUGGUUAAGUGGGAAACGAUGUGGGAAGGCACAGACAGCCAGGAUGUUGGCUUAGAAGCAGCCAUCAUUUAAAGAAAGCGUAAUAGCUCACUGGUCGAGUCGGCCUGCGCGGAAGAUGUAACGGGGCUAAACCAUGCACCGAAGCUGCGGCAGCGACACUAUGUGUUGUUGGGUAGGGGAGCGUUCUGUAAGCCGUUGAAGGUGUCCUGUGAGGGAUGCUGGAGGUAUCAGAAGUGCGAAUGCUGACAUAAGUAACGAUAAAGCGGGUGAAAAGCCCGCUCGCCGGAAGACCAAGGGUUCCUGUCCAACGUUAAUCGGGGCAGGGUGAGUCGACCCCUAAGGCGAGGCCGAAAGGCGUAGUCGAUGGGAAACAGGUUAAUAUUCCUGUACUUGGUGUUACUGCGAAGGGGGGACGGAGAAGGCUAUGUUAGCCGGGCGACGGUUGUCCCGGUUUAAGCAUGUAGGCGGAGGUUCCAGGUAAAUCCGGUUCCUUGUUAACGCUGAGGUGUGAUGACGAGGCACUACGGUGCUGAAGUAACAAAUGCCCUGCUUCCAGGAAAAGCCUCUAAGCAUCAGGUAACAUCAAAUCGUACCCCAAACCGACACAGGUGGUCAGGUAGAGAAUACCAAGGCGCUUGAGAGAACUCGGGUGAAGGAACUAGGCAAAAUGGUGCCGUAACUUCGGGAGAAGGCACGCUGAUAUGUAGGUGAAGUCCCUGCGGAUGGAGCUGAAAUCAGUCGAAGAUACCAGCUGGCUGCAACUGUUUAUUAAAAACACAGCACUGUGCAAACACGAAAGUGGACGUAUACGGUGUGACGCCUGCCCGGUGCCGGAAGGUUAAUUGAUGGGGUUAGCGGUAACGCGAAGCUCUUGAUCGAAGCCCCGGUAAACGGCGGCCGUAACUAUAACGGUCCUAAGGUAGCGAAAUUCCUUGUCGGGUAAGUUCCGACCUGCACGAAUGGCGUAAUGAUGGCCAGGCUGUCUCCACCCGAGACUCAGUGAAAUUGAACUCGCUGUGAAGAUGCAGUGUACCCGCGGCAAGACGGAAAGACCCCGUGAACCUUUACUAUAGCUUGACACUGAACACUGGUCCUUGAUGUGUAGGAUAGGUGGGAGGCUUUGAAGCGUGGACGCCAGUCUGCGUGGAGCCAACCUUGAAAUACCACCCUUUAAUGGCUGGUGUUCUAACGUAGACCCGUGAUCCGGGUUGCGGACAGUGUCUGGUGGGUAGUUUGACUGGGGCGGUCUCCUCCCAAAGAGUAACGGAGGAGCACGAAGGUUAGCUAAUCCUGGUCGGACAUCAGGAGGUUAGUGCAAUGGCAUAAGCUAGCUUGACUGCGAGAGUGACGGCUCGAGCAGGUGCGAAAGCAGGUCAUAGUGAUCCGGUGGUUCUGAAUGGAAGGGCCAUCGCUCAACGGAUAAAAGGUACUCCGGGGAUAACAGGCUGAUACCGCCCAAGAGUUCAUAUCGACGGCGGUGUUUGGCACCUCGAUGUCGGCUCAUCACAUCCUGGGGCUGAAGUAGGUCCCAAGGGUAUGGCUGUUCGCCAUUUAAAGUGGUACGCGAGCUGGGUUUAGAACGUCGUGAGACAGUUCGGUCCCUAUCUGCCGUGGGCGCUGGAGAAUUGAGGGGGGCUGCUCCUAGUACGAGAGGACCGGAGUGGACGCAUCACUGGUGUUCGGGUUGUCAUGCCAAUGGCACUGCCCGGUAGCUAAAUGCGGAAGAGAUAAGUGCUGAAAGCAUCUAAGCACGAAACUUGCCCCGAGAUGAGUUCUCCCUGAGACUUUAAGUCUCCUGAAGGAACGUUGAAGACUACGACGUUGAUAGGUCGGGUGUGUAAGCGCAGCGAUGCGUUGAGCUAACCGAUACUAAUGAACCGUGAGGCUUAACCUUACAACGCCGAAG
rnacentral:rRNA from 1 species